rnacentral:sRNA from 1 species
UGUUGCAGGAAAGGCUAACCGGUGGUUUGGGGUUGCUCCCCCUAAAUCUGGAAAAAUGAACAUGAACAUCCUUCACCAGGAAGAGCUCAUCGCUCAGAAGAAACGGGAAAUUGAAGCCAAAAUGGAACAGAAAGCCAAGCAGAAUCAGGUGGCCAGCCCUCAGCCCCCACAUCCUGGCGAAAUCACAAAUGCACACAACUCUUCCUGCAUUUCCAACAAGUUUGCCAACGAUGGUAGCUUCUUGCAGCAGUUUCUGAAGUUGCAGAAGGCACAGACCAGCACAGACGCCCCAACCAGUGCGCCCAGCGCCCCUCCCAGCACACCCACCCCCAGCGCUGGGAAGAGGUCCCUGCUCAUCAGCAGGCGGACAGGCCUGGGGCUGGCCAGCCUGCCGGGCCCUGUGAAGAGCUACUCCCACGCCAAGCAGCUGCCCGUGGCGCACCGCCCGAGUGUCUUCCAGUCCCCUGACGAGGACGAGGAGGAGGACUAUGAGCAGUGGCUGGAGAUCAAAGGUAAGUUGUGGGAGCUGCUGCUCCCCCACCACCAGUGCCCGUGCUCUAGCAGGUGGGAUCUGUGGUGGGCAGGGCAAGUGCUACCAGGGGCGUGGGUGCUUUGGGCUGAGUUGCAGCCACCAGACCUCCGAGCUGAGCCUCAGGCCCUCUGAGGUGAGGAGAGCAAAGGAGGGUGAGGGGCGGGGCUGGGGUGUUGCUGGGCA